rnacentral:misc_RNA from 1 species
GAUGAAGAACGCAGUGAAAUGCGAUAAGUAAUGUGAAUUGCAGAAUUCAGUGAAUCAUCGAAUCUUUGAACGCACAUUGCGCCCCUUGGUAUUCCGAGGGGCAUGCCUGUUCGAGCGUCAUUACACCACUCAAGCACUGCUUGGUAUUGGGCAUCGUCCGUCGAAAGGCGGGCGUGCCUCGAAGACCUCGGCGGGGUUUCUCCAACUUCGGGCGUAGUAGAGUUAAAUCGAACGUCUUAUAAGCUUGGUGGGACUCCAUUGCCGUUAAACCUUUUAUUUUCUAGGUUGACCUCGGAUCAGGUAGGGAUACCCGCUGAACUUAAGCAUAUCAAUAAGCGGAGGA